ACCUUACCUGGUCUUGACAUCCACAGAAUUCUGCAGAGAUGCGGAAGUGCCUUCGGGAACUGUGAGACAGGUGCUGCAUGGCUGUCGUCAGCUCGUGUUGUGAAAUGUUGGGUUAAGUCCCGCAACGAGCGCAACCCUUAUCCUUUGUUGCCAGCGAUUAGGUCGGGAACUCAAAGGAGACUGCCAGUGAUAAACUGGAGGAAGGUGGGGAUGACGUCAAGUCAUCAUGGCCCUUACGACCAGGGCUACACACGUGCUACAAUGGCGCAUACAAAGAGAAGCGACCUCGCGAGAGCAAGCGGACCUCAUAAAGUGCGUCGUAGUCCGGAUUGGAGUCUGCAACUCGACUCCAUGAAGUCGGAAUCGCUAGUAAUCGUGGAUCAGAAUGCCACGGUGAAUACGUUCCCGGGCCUUGUACACACCGCCCGUCACACCAUGGGAGUGGGUUGCAAAAGAAGUAGGUAGCUUAACCUUCGGGAGGGCGCUUACCACUUUGUGAUUCAUGACUGGGGUGAAGUCGUAACAAGGUAACCGUAGGGGAACCUGCGGUUGGAUCACCUCCU
rnacentral:rRNA from 1 species